UUUUUUUCUUUCGCAUCUAAGAAAAUAAAAACUUCUUCUUCUUCUUCGAUCUUCAGUCAGAAAUAGUGUAGUCAUCCAUUAAAGAAUCUUCUUUGUUCUCCUCGAUUAACUAUGAAAUUGUUCUCAAUUUCAUAGUUAAUGGUGUGGGUUUUGCUGGCAGUAGACAGAUUGAUGUUACUUCACCUGAGUUGAUGCUUCGGUUUGGUUGAAACAAGUUACUUCACCAGAUUUGGGGUUCUGCCUCAAAAUUCAUUUGAUUGAACCAUUAAGUUUGGGGCAAAAACUUAAUUCAUCCAUCUCUAGAAGUCGUCAGUGGAACGACGUCAAAGAAAUCAAAGAGAUCAGGAGCGAGGUGCAGGUUGCAAGGAACCCUCUGACAUGGUGUUUGCAUAUGGAUUUCAGUACAAUUGUUACAUCCGAGUGAAGCCAAAAAAUGAUAAAAAAACCAGAACAUUUUGUACUCUUUUCAGUUCAAUUGUUGAAGCAUGUUGUUGUAGAAUUGCAAUUUAAUUUCAAAGAUUGUUGAAUGAAGACUUCAGUUUUUCUUUUUCUCAGCGAAACUGCAGGCGCAUCGUGUAUAAAUUCACGAAAGUAUUAGUGACUAAAGGCACCGUUGCAAGAAAAAAAAGAGGGAACAUACACGAAAAAUGUUAUAAAUGAAGAAGUCUUUGUGUCUUAGAAAACUAAAGUUACGAAUACACAUUCUUGAUGUAAAUGGAUAUUUAGGAUUCAAAAAUUCUUAAAUGGAACGUUCGAAUUUAGUUGUAA